rnacentral:lncRNA from 1 species
GGGAUGUUUUAUGGCAAUUUAUUCUGAAAGAAUUGGCCCUCUAUCCAAUACGAGAGGAUAAUCGCAGACAGUGAUUAGGAAAACCUGGUUAUUGUGCCGUUCCAUAAUGGCCACAGCGUCUCUGAUUGGUUGAUGAGUAUGAAACGAAGGAACCAAGACUGGAGAACCUGGCAAAGGGACGGAAACAUGGAACGCAGACGCUUGAUGACGGGCUCUCGAUUCGUCUUUGCCGCUGUCUGUUGAAACAGCCCCCAGGAAGCGUUGCGGGAACGUUCUCACCGGGAUGGUCGUCUCGCCGUGUCUCCGUCCGUGUUCCUGUCGAGCGCCGAGCGUGCCGUUUCUGGCAGCGGGAAUCAGCGACGGCCGCAACCCCGCCGCCGGUCGUCCUCGUAUGGUCAUACCUGCGACGAAAAACAGAACCACGUCCGACAGGAGGGGAGAGGGGGGCAGGAAGAGGAAGACACUUUUCCACUCGCCGCUCUUUCAUAUCAAUGCAUUGGUUUGAUGAUUGGUUAUAUUGGUUCGAUGGUGGACCUGGACCCCACUCCUCUGCUCGGAUGCCAGUCUUGAAGUGGCAGUGCCAGGCAGCGUGCCACUGCUGGAACGCCGCUCUCAUUUCCUGCCUUUAGAGUAAUCCUGUUUAAAAUACGACCAGCGGUCUAAUCCGGCGGAAUCUCCUUAAUGGCCUCUUCCUCACAAGCGGCUCCGGUGGCAACCCUGCUGGGCAUUGUGGGGUGGCCUUUGCAUCGCCACGGAAACAGCAACAUGACGAGUCACUGGUUCAGUGUGUCAAUACUCCCCGACUUGUCUGAACAAAACCUUUUUUUUUCUUCUUUUUUUUGCCUUUGCAGUGAUUUGUGAGUCCACUUUUCUAGAAACACACUCAUAACCCAUCAGUGCUCUGUGCAUUACAGACAUACAGGACAAGUGUGGUGCCCAGUGUGGGGCCAUUGGACGAUCACAACAGGUGCUCCUGCACCAGAUUAUGGAGUCCUGGUCCAUCCCAGCUGAAACCGAUUAGGACUCCAUAAGACCCGUUAGGCAGCACCCAGUAGGUGCUGCCACAUUAAAGUGGACAUUACCUAACCUUUGUGUUUAAGUUGCUCCUGGUCUUCGUACCACACCCCAUAGUGAUUGUUUAAGUUCCUUUUGUAUUUCCUUUCUGGCCUGUUU